rnacentral:rRNA from 1 species
UGAGGAAUAUUGGUCAAUGGGCGCGAGCCUGAACCAGCCAAGUAGCGUGAAGGACGAAGGCCCUAUGGGUUGUAAACUUCUUUUGCGGGGGGAUAAAACGCGCCACGCGUGGCGUCUUGCAGGUACCCCGCGAAUAAGGGUCGGCUAACUCCGUGCCAGCAGCCGCGGUAAUACGGAGGACCCGAGCGUUAUCCGGAUUUAUUGGGUUUAAAGGGUGCGUAGGCGGGACCUUAAGUCAGUUGUGAAAUCCGGCGGCCCAACCGUCGGCCUGCAGUUGAUACUGGGGUCCUUGAGUUCGGACGAGGCAGGCGGAAUUCGUGGUGUAGCGGUGAAAUGCAUAGAUAUCACGAAGAACCCCGAUUGCGUAGGCAGCCUGCCAGGCCGCGACUGACGCUGAGGCACGAAAGUGCGGGUAUCGAACAGG